rnacentral:lncRNA from 1 species
AAAAUUUAACUUGGUUAAUUCAUUGCAUAGUUCAAGAUAUGCCUAUGAUGGGCUUUGACAAAGAUUGUGUUACGAAAAUACGAGUCAAGGUGGAGAUUUGUUGAGUAUGCCUCGUAUUUCAGUCAAAUUUGAAAGAUAAUCUCCCAGUUAAACUCUGUUUAUUUGUUUUGGUCGAAUUAUGAUUAGUCUAAAUUAUUUUUUUAUUUGACCUACGAAUUUAGUCUAUAAGUAGGCUCUUUUACAACCUUAGAAAUACACCCAUUAAAUAUUAGCACUCAUAACACUUUUGGAGAAUUUUGUGUUUAUUUUUUGAAGGUUCUUUAUUUUUUCUAGGUUUAGUUUUUUAUCUUCAUCUUUUGUACUCUUCGUUCUGUUGCCAUUAUAGUAAAAUUAUCUUUGCUCGUGUAAAGAACAAUUAAACCUGCAAUGGAAGGGCAUCUCUCAUAACUCUUUAUAAAGCAACUCUGCUAAAAUGAUAAGCGAAAUAAUCAAUUUCUGCUAUUAAACUACAUUUUAUGCUUAAGCUCAUUACUAAAAGUAGGAUAUUUUUCCUUCAAUUUUGGCCUUUCUGUAGUAUGUAUCCUUGAGCUGAAACUUUUCCCUAUAAAGUAGAAGGAUGUAAUAAGUUUAGGAAAAUACAGAUUUAAGGCUCUUUCCAUAGCAACGAAUUGAGUGAUUGUCAUUGCAUGUAAAUUGUUGGCAUGUUUAUUAUUUGCAUCAGUUGUAAUUUCAUCAUUCAUCCCCUUAUAUAAAAAUGGAAAAAAGGUAUUCCAAAGUUUUAUUUUUCCCCCUUCAAUCAAACACACAUGUAAGAUAUAGACUUACGUAGUUUGUUGACUGAUUGUGCCAUAUCUUUCUCCAGUUUCCCACACCCAUGAUGCUUUGUUUCUCUAAGUAAUGUUAGUUUGCUAGAGAAAAACAAGUAGCGCAACAAGAAUAGGGAAUCAAAUAUUUAAGAAAAAUGAAUAAGAACAAAAAAAAAACAUGAAAGAAAGUAAUGAUACAAGAAAACAAAAAUGGGAUAUCCCCUUUUAAUGAAAAGAGUUGGAAAGAGAAUCUUUGUGUUGUUGCUUUCUAUCCCAAGAGAAUAAUGUCAAUGCCAGUAGUGCUACUUUUUAGACUAAAAUACCCAUGUAUUGUAGAAAAUAACUAAAUUAGUUAUUUAGAUAUUUGUGCACAGUUAGUUAGAGUAGUGAGCUGUAUAGUGUAAUUAGCAAUGUAAUUAGUUACACCUUAGCUGUAUAUAUUCUAUAGCUCUAUUCAAUUGAAAACACGAUUCAUUGAAUAAAGAAAAUAAAAAUAUUCUUUACAUUUCUUUUUCAUCAUCUUAACAUGGUAUCAGAGUUCUAAAUCUGAAUCGGGUGGAUUUGGUUCCACCAUCACCAUUGAUUUCAGCAUUCCUCUCUAUCUUCAUCCUUUCGAUACUCCUUGGAUCGUUCUCGUCUCCCAUCAACUCACCGGCACAGAUAACUAUUGUGUUUGGAGCCGUUCUAUGAGUAUUGCUCUUCUUGCGAAGAACAAACUCAGAUUUAUCGAUGGAUCUUGCAAACGCGAUUCUCUUUCUCCAGAUCUAAAAUCACAAUGGGAUCGUUGCAACGCUCUUGUUCUCUCUUGGAUCAUCAAUACUGUUUCCAAGGAACUCUCUGCUGGAAUCGUUUUUGCCUCUAGUACAGCUUUAGAUUGGAAGGACUUACAGGAAGGUAUGAUAAGGUUGAUGGCUCUCGUGUUUAUUAUCUUCAUCGGUCUAUUUCCACUCACACAUAAGGUACUUCAUCUGUUGCUACGUAUUUCACAAAACUUCGCCUUCUCUUGGAUGAGUAUGAUAUUCUUAUGCCUUCAUCUACUUGUGAUUGUGACCUUGCAAAAAAGACUGCUCAACAUUCUCAGCAAUGUCUUUUUCAAUUUCUUAUGGGUUUGAAUGAAACUUAUGCAAAUGUUCGAAGCCAGAUCUUAUUGAUGCAACCUUUUCCCUUUGUCAACAAUGCUUAUUCUAUGGUGAUUCGUGAUGAAGAUCAACGCGAGCUAGCCUCUCCUACCUUUUCUGAUUCCACUGCUCUGCUUUCCUCCAAACCUGCUUUUUUCUCCUCCAAGAAGCGUUAUAAUGGCAUCUGUGAGCAUUGCAAACUUUCGGGUCACAGGAUUGAGAAUUGUUAUAGGCUUACUGAUUUUCCCCCUGAUUUCAAAUUCACUAAAAAGAAAUCACCAGCGGCCAAUCAUGUUGUUACUACUACUGACAGUGAUGAUACUGAUGAUAUAGCUACUCAUUCAGCUCCUCUGGCUCCUACUUUUACUCCUGAGUAGUAUCAACAGAUUCUUUCUCUUCUCAGCAAGGAUUCUGCUUCAUCCUUUCAACCUGUGGCUCAUAUGGCAGGUACCUCCCCUGUUAGUGAUCCAGUUUCCUGGAUUCUUGACACUGGGGAUUCAAAUCAUAUGACAUUUGUUUUCAAUUCUUUGAAUUCACCUGUUGCUUGUUCCGCUAAUACUUAUGUUAAAUUGCCUACUGGAAAAUCUGCCACUAUCACUCACAUUGGUACUCAUUCCCUCACCCCAACUCAUCAUUUGACUGAUGUACUAUAUUUUCCCUCUUUUAACUUUAACCUCAUCUCUAUCUCAAAGCUCACUAAGGAUCUCAAUUGUUUUGUUUCCUUUUAUCCCUCAUUCUGUGUUUUGCAAGACCUUUGCAGUGGAAGGAUGAUGGGGAUUGGUAAAUAGAAGGAUGGCCUCUACAUACUUUUACCUCAUACAAUUUCAAACCCAGUCAAUACCAAUGUAACCACUUCUUUGUUUUCAGAAUCUAGUGUUACUUCUUUGUCAUCGUCUAAGCAUAUUGAUUCCUCUUUGUGCCAUGCUAGACUUGGUCAUACAUCUUUAUCCAAGUUGAAUAAAAUUCCUUCUCUACAUUCUGUUUUUCAUUCUCAACAUGAUAUUACUUAUUGUACUGUUUGUCCUUUAGCUAAGCAAUCUCGCUUACCUUUUCCACUAAGUGAAUCAAGAUCAAAAACUGCAUUCUCCCUUAUUCACAUUGAUCUUUGGGGAGCAUAUCGUUUUUCUACUCAUUUUGGGCAUAGAUAUUUUUUGACUAUUAUUGAUGAUAAGACUAGGAUGACUUGGAUAUUUCUACUAAAACUUAAGAGUGAUGCCUUUCUUGUCUUAAAGGAUUUCAUUAGUCUUGUUAAAACUCAAUUUUCUGGGGUAGUCAAGAUCGUUAGGAGUGAUAAUGGGAGUGAAUUCUUUACCAAGGAAGGUACACCUUUUUUUCAUUCUCUUGGCAUCAUUCAUCAAUCAUCUUGUGUUCACACACCACAAUAGAAUGGUGUGGCAGAACGUAAACAUAGACAUCUUUUAGAUGUAGCAAGGGCACUCAAAUUUCAUUCAAAUAUUCCUAUCAAAUUUUGGGGUGAAUGUGUGUUAUCUGCUUGUUAUUUAAUCAAUAGAUUACCCUCAUCUGUUCUUCAUUGGAAGUCACCAUAUGAAAUGUUAUAUGAUAAACCAUCUUCCUUGUCACAUUUAAAAGUUUUUGGUUGCCUUUGUUUUGCUACUAUCAUCAAUUUUCAUGAUAAAUUCUCUCCAAAGGCAAUACCAUCUAUUUUUAUAGGGUAUUCUUUAGUAAAAAAGGGUUAUCUUUUGUUUAAUCCUAUUUCUCAGAAAUUUUUUGUCAGUCGAGAUGUUGUUUUCCAUGAACAUGUUUUUCCCUUCAAAACUCUUCCUAAGGAUCAGCCAAUGUUUCCUCUAGAUGUAAAUGCUUUUGGACCACUUGAUGAUUCCAAUUUUUUUCCUUUUACCAUUACAUCUUCACCUACACCUUCAAUAUCUCAUCUUACUCCUAUACAACCACCAUCAUUACUAUCCCCACAACCAUCACCACUCAUAUCCUACACUUCUCCUACCACACAAUCAACACCACCACCACCACCACCACCGCAACCUCCCCAACCCUUACGCCAAAGCACCCGAACUCACAAACAACCUGCUUGGAUGGAAGACUACAUUUGUUUCAUAAAAUCCUCAUCAUCAACUUCCUCCACUACAGCACAAGGUCAGUAUGCCAUCUCUAAUUUUAUCUCCUAUUCUUAUUUACCUUCACAUACUCAAUGUUUUUUCCUCAUCCAUCACUCAUACACCUGAACCUCAAACCUAUUUCGAGGCAAUUAAACAUAAUUGUUGGCAAGUAGCAAUGCAACAGGAAAUUGAGGCGUUGGAAGCAAAUGACACAUGGGCUGUUGUCCUUUUGCCACCUGGAAAGAUCCCCAUUGGCUGCAAAUGGGUGUAUAAAGUUAAGUAUCAUUUUGAUGGCUCAAUCGAGCAUUACAAGCCCAGAUUAGUUGCCAAAGGGUACAAUCAAAGGGCUAGGAUUGAUUUCCAGGAUACUUUCUCUCCAGUUGUAAAGCAAGUAACGGUCCGCGUUGUUAUUGUACUAGCUGCAUUAUAUAAUUGGCCUCUUGUACAAUUAGAUGUCUACAAUGCUUUCCUCCAAGGUGACCUUCAUGAAGAAGUCUACAUGGCUUUACCACAGGGAUUUGCUAAUCUAGGGGGCAAUCAAGUAUGUAGAUUACUCAAAUCCCUUUAUGGCUUGAAAAAGGUGUUGAGACAAUGGAACCUAAAACUUAGUGAGGCUCUCAUCAACACUGGAUACAAUCAAAGUAAGCAUGACUACUCAUUGUUUACCAAAACAGUGGGUAACAAAAUUGUGAUCAUGCUUAUAUAUGUUGAUGAUCUCUUGAUCACUGGGAAUGAUAGGGAACUAAUUGAAGAACUUCAAGCCAUUCUACAUCAGAACUUCAAAAUGAAAGAUCUAGGAACACUCAAAUAUUUCCUUGGGAUAGAGGUAGCAAGAUCGACAGAAGGAAUCAUAAUGAAUCAGAGGAAAUAUGCCUUAGAACUCAUAGAAGACAUUGGUUUGAAUAAUGCAAAGCCAGCAAACACUCCUCUUGAGCAGAAUCUAAAGUUAACCAGUGCUGAAUAUGAUGAAGCACUUCAAUUGCAGUAAGAUGAUAUUAAACUGGAAGAUGCAAGUAUAUAUCAAUGGCUUAUAGGUAGACUCUUGUACUUGACAAAUACUAGGCCAGACAUUGCCUUUGUCGUUCAACAUCUCAGUCAAUUUAUGCACAUGCCAAAAAAAUCUCAUUAUGAAGCAGCUAUACGAAUUGUGAGAUACAUUAAGAAGAAUCCUGGACAAGGAAUCUUACUUUCAGCAGCAGGAAGACCAGAGAUAAAUGCCUAUUGUGACUCAGGUUGGACAUCAUGCAGCAUGACAAGGAAAUCUGUCACAGGUUUUUGUAUCAAGCUUGGUGAUUCAUUAAUCUCGUGGAAAUAUAAGAAGCAAAACACGAUAUCGAGAUCUUCUGCAGAAGCAGAAUAUAGGAGCAUGGCAGUUACAGUUGCUGAGCUUAUGUGGAUUAAAGGCUUGCUGUCAGAACUGGGUGUUGAAGUAACCAAACCAAUGAUGCUGCAUUGUGAUAGUCAAGCAGUAAUACAAAUUUCUAGUAAUCCAGUAUAUCAUGAGAGGACGAAGCACAUAGAGAUUGAUUGUCAUUUUAUCAGAGAAAAAAUACAGAGGGGGCACAUUCAAACCAGGCACAUUUCAAUAAGAGAGCAAAUGACAGAUUUAUUGACAAAGGGUUUGAGUAUUCCACAACACAAAUAUCUAGUUAACAAGUUGAGAGUGAAAGACAUUUUUUCACCCAUCAACUUGAGGGGGCAUGUAGAAAAUAACUAAAUUAGUUAUUUAGAUAUUUGUGCACAAUUAGUUAGAGCAGUGAGCUGUAUAAUGUAAUUAGCAAUGUAAUUAGUUACACCUUAGCUGUAUAUAUUCUAUAGCUCUAUUCAAUUGAAAACACGAUUCAUUGAAUAAAGAAAAUAAAAAUAUUCUUUACAUUUCUUUUUCGUCAUCUUAACAUGUACCUUGGUACCCAAGGUACAAAAUCCAAGAAAGAAACAAGGAUUACUCAAAAGCUUAUUACCAAAUCGGAGCAUGCCGAAAAGAAGAAAUUCAAGAAGAAAAUAGAAUGGUUAAAGCUAAAUUAAAGGAAUAUGAAAUAGUACCUUUGUUGAAUGCAAUUUGUUGGACAAUGUUGUUAAGGUCACCACCCCAAUGUCCCUUACCCUUUUCAUCUUCUACUCUUUCCGCAUUUAAAACUCUCUUACAAAAUAUCUCCAACUCAAGGUAACCUUUUAUUAUUAAUUUAUCUGAACAUGGGAAUCCAAAAGCAUGAUUGCCUGAACCAAAAUUCUUGAUGUUGAGAAUGAUUCAAAUGAAUGAAAAAUCUCAAGAAUAAAUGCUAUCGAUUAGAAUGAAUAGUGCAAUCCUCUUACAUUAACUAUUCAUCGACUAUGAUUAAAUGCAUAAGAUAAAAGUUGGAUGAAAUUUGAUUAGGACUAAAUGUUUAUUCAUAAGAUAAAACUUUAAGGAUUUUAAACUUUAUUUUUUAGAAUUUAAAUAAACUGUAAAAAUUGAACCAAUCUUGUUGGUUUUAUUGUGCCAUGAUACUGUUACAGAUGCAUUUAUGGCUAAAUCUUAAUUAUAAUGAUUUAUUAAUAUUCCAACUUAAAAAAAAAAUUUAUUUUAGUCCUUCAUUUUUUAUAGACCUUUAACUUGUGUUAUUUAUUAAAUCACCUCAAAAAUAAUGAAAAAGUCAAGGUUUUAAUCAUUAGAAGCUCAAAGUCCUAACUCUUUAUGACUGGAUUUUUGAGUCUUGCCUUCAUAAUCUUGGCAAAGAAGAGUGUUGUUUUACCUUUUAGUAUCCCUUAACUCACACAACUUUACAUUUUUCAUAUUGCAAUUAGUGUUUUGUUUGAUAAAUUUAUCAAAAAGUGGAGCCUACAUAUUUAAGUUAUAAUUGUUGGUUAAAUUAUUUAUACAUUUCUUAACAAAUUUACGAGUGUUCCUUCUUUUCAUAUUUUUGGAAAAGAAAAAAAAAUGAUUUUAAGAAUUCCUUAAAAAAAAAAAAGAAAAAAGUUAAAAAGAAGCAAAAAUGGUUUUGGAAGGCAAAGGAUAAAGUAUAAAGAACUUUUAAGAAUAAUUUAAUAUAUAGAGUAGGAGUGAGAGGAUUCAUACCUUUUCUUAGUAGAAAAGUGGUGGAUGGACUGGGAAGUCAAGUUGUCCAUUGUUAGUGAUCAGUUGUGUACCUAAUAUCUUCAAUUUCUCACACUCAACUAGUUCCAACUUGUUUAACAUUGGCCACUUUGUGGUAUGCUUGCCCGGGUAGAAACAUUUCAAUUCUGGUAGCCUCCAAAGCCUAAGGCUGUAUAGAUGAUCAAACUCGAAAUUGACGGCUAUUUCCGACUCGGAUCCUUCCUCUAAUUUGGAAACAAUCUCCUCCACUCCACAAUAAAAUAUUCCAAGAUAACGUAAUCGUGGUAGGUCUUUGGCUAUUGAGGCUGGAAAUAUAUCUUCAAAAUUUGACAGCGCCAAACAAAUAUUGUACAGAUUUUCUUAAAAGAAAAAAUUCCUUUGGGAUCAUUUUUCCAAAUAUAUUUCAACUUUGGUAAUCUUAUCAUAUGCAAUUCUCUUAGUUGAGUGGUUGCAAGUAAAGCGGUUUCUUUUUCUUCAUGCAUGAUUUCAAAUACUUGUUGUAAGGAACCACAAGUGUUUACAGUUAGAUGCUGCAACUUAUCACAUCCUUUGACUCUCAAUUCUUGUAGUUUGGGAAAUGCAACCUGCACUCAUGCCAAUAUAAUGAAAUUAGAAGCUAGCUGUUUGUUUCAUUUAUUGUGUGCGUGUUUGUGGAAAAGUAGAAGGAUAGAAAGAGAGAGGAAAUGUGGAAAAUAAAUAAAUAAAUUUUGAGUGUGAUUGGUAAAAAAAUUAAAAAGAAAAAGAAAAGCUCAUUUUUCACAUAAUUCAUAAAAACAAAUUAUUUCAAAUUGAAAUUAUAAGAGAAGAGAAAAUGGAAGAGAUGCUUGUUAGUCUAAAAAUAUGCAUUUUUCAAAAAUUCCAUUUUCAUUCCUCUCAUUUUCAACUAUACCAAGAAAUGAUUAAAAAGAAAUUUACUUUUUCUUUCUUAUCGACCACACUAUAGAAAAGAAAAAUAAAUAUUUUCUAUCUUUCUAUCUUUUUACUCCUUUAAUUUUCUUAUCUUUUUAAUUUUCUUUCCACUAUACCAUUAAAGCCAAAGCCAACAAGGAGAAAAAUUAAGAAUUAACCCACCUUAUUGUCAAACAGAUCACCUUGACUACAGAUUCGUUGGUUCUCCUGCCUUGUAUAUCUCCUUAUGAAGCUGUCCAAGUUUGGACAGUUGUAUAUCCUCAUUGAUUUCAUGAAUGCAAAUUCAAUAACUUUAUUUUGAGAGGUGGAGCAAAAUCCACUGAAAUGCUGAAGAUUCUUUAGCUCUAAGGACUUUAAUUGAGGAAAUAAUGAUAAAGUCAUCGUAGCCUGAGUUUCUUCUUCUAUAUUUUCCAAAAAAAUUAUCUCCUCUAAGCAGUUGCAUUCAGUUAUCUCAAAGUAUUUGAGAUGAACCAGACAUUUAGCCAUAGAAAAUGAUAAUAGGUAUUUUAUGUUUCUACAACCAUCGAUUUUCAAUGUGGUUAACGUCUCAUGAGUGCAAAAAGAUACAUUUGACAACUGGUUGUGCCAUACCUUUAUAACACUAAGUGAUGCCAACCGCAAUUUUUUCAAGGAAGGAAACGAUAUCUGAAACCAUACACAUCAGUAUUUCUACUUUCAAAUAUGUUAGGAUCGUCCCGAUUAAGCAACGAACAAGUAAAAAUAGUAGAAGAAAUUGAGAAGAUGAACACACAAAUUUAACGUGGAAAAACCCCUCAAAAGAGGAUAAAAAACCACGAGCAAAGAUAAUUUUACUAUAAUGGCAAAAGAAUGAAGAGUACAAAAGAUGGAGAUAAAAACUAAACCCCGAAAACCCGAAAAACAAAGAACCCUCAAACGUAAACACAAAAUUCUCUGAAUGUGUUAUGAGUUCUAAUCUAAUGGGUGUCUCUUAAUUCUAAGAUUGUAAAGGAGCCUAUUUAUAGGCUAAAUUAGUAAGUCAAAUAAACUAUACUAAUAAAUGCUAAAUAUAUUAUACUAAUAAAUACUAAAUCUUCUAGAAAGAAAAUAUAUUUUUGUUUAACUUGACUUGCAAGCAAUCUCUUAGAAUUUGGGUCACACAAUUCUAACAAUCUCCACCUUGACACGAAUUCUUUCAAUGCCAUCUUUGCCAAAACCCGCCACGGGCCUAUCUUGAACUAUGCAGGGAAUUAACUGAGUCGAAUCUAUGCUUAGAAGCUGGAAGACUUCUAGCCUUCGACUUGUGCACUGCCAAAUCAAAACUAACCCGAGUCUGAUUUUCACGAAUACAGCGCCCUAACUUUUCAAAACCUGCAUCCAAAAGAGAACCUCUCUUCAACGAAACGGUCAUACCUUUUUCCCUCCUAUGACCAAGUUGCCUCCGCUUCAAAUGAGUUGACUUUGACUCCGUAACGGACGAGGGACGUCCGAUUUCACCGGUCACUGUAGAACCUUCCAGAAUAUAAAGACUGCCGGUUCUUUUACCUUUUAACAAAAUGAGAGCUCCACGAGAUACUUUAAUGUCGCUCGACUCGAUGUUGAUUCUGCAUCCUUUCAAGUCUAAAAUACUCAAGGAGAUGAGAUUCUUUCGUAAAUCAGGUACAUACCUGACAUCUGAGAGUGUCCUAAUCGUCCCAUCGUGUAUCCUAAUUUUAACAGUACCAAUAUUUUACUAGAUGAAUCGUUUCCCAUGUGCACAACUCCACCUUCAACUGAACUGUAUGUGGAGAACCAUUCUCUAUUGGGACACAUGUGGAAAGAACAUCCUGAAUCUAGGAUCCACUCAGACGUAAGCUUGGAGUUAUCGUUCGUUAACACUAACAAGAAAUUAUCACCGCCUUCAUCGACCAAAUUAGCACCAGCUACAUCUUCCUCGUUACUCUCAGCAGCUCUUUUAUUUCGCAGUUUAUAACAAUCUGCUUUGACGUGACCUAACUUUUUGCAAUAGCGACACCUUUUGUCUCGUUUCUUUGAUGCUACCAAAACGGAAGCUUGUCUAUCUGCUUUGCUAUUCAAAUCAAACUCAUUGUCGAGUUUGUCCUUACUCAACAAAUGACCUUUCACAUCUUCGAACGAGAGUUUGUCUCUGCCAUAAAUCAGGGUCUCCCUGAAAGACUUGUAUGAAGAGGGUAAAGAGCACAAUAAUAGCAUAGCUUGAUCUUCAUCGUCAAUAUGAACCUCAACGUUCUUUAAAUCAUUUAAAAGAGUAAUGAAUUGACUGAUGUGAUCUUUAAGAAGCUCACCUUCGUUCAUGCGAAACGUAAAUAGACGUUGUUUCAACACUAAACGGUUAGCCAGAGACUUAGUCGCAUAAAGAGUUUCUAACCUUUUCCACAAGGCGAAUGAGGUCUUCUCCAUCAAUACCUCCUGCAAUACUGUAUUCGCGAGGCACAACUGGAUUGCAGACAAGGCCUUUUCAUCAAGCUCUUCCCAUUCUGUUUGAUUUAGAUUCUCAGGCUUUUUCCCUGUAACAACCUUUUUCAAGCCAUUUUGAACUAGAAUUGCCAUCAUCCGAACUUGCCACAGAUUGAAAUUUGUCUCACCAUCGAACUUCUCAAUUUCAAACCUUGUUGCUGCCAUCUCUGACCGGGCUGAUCUAUAAAAGUUAAACUAGCUCUGAUAUCACUUGUUAGGAUCGUCCCGAUUAAGCAACGAAUAAGUAAAAAUAGUAGAAGAAAUUGAGAAGAUGAACACACAAAUUUAACGUGGAAAAACCCCUCAAAAGAGGAUAAAAAACCACGGGCAAAGAUAAUUUUACUAUAAUGGCAAAAGAAUGAAGAGUACAAAAGAUGGAGAUAAAAACUAAACCCCGAAAACCCGAAAAACAAAGAACCCUCAAACGUAAACACAAAAUUCUCUGAAUGUGUUAUGAGUUCUAAUCUAAUGGGUGUCUCUUAAUUCUAAGAUUGUAAAGGAGCCUAUUUAUAGGCUAAAUUAGUAAGUCAAAUAAACUAUACUAAUAAAUGCUAAAUAUAUUAUACUAAUAAAUACUAAAUCUUCUAGAAAGAAAAUAUAUUUUUGUUUAACUUGACUUGCAAGCAAUCUCUUAGAAUUUGGGUCACACAAUUCUAACAAAAUAAAUAUUAUAUAUAUAAUUCUAAAGGAAUAUUUACUUUAUAAUUCUAUUUUUGCAAUUACCAAAUACAAUAAAAAAUUUACCCGUUUGAAAAUUCUAAUGGUGAUAUGCUUCCAAUUCCAAAACAUGUCAUAUUUUUUUCGAGUGGUAAUCUUGCACAUUUCUUGGCUACCUUAAUUGCUGUAGAUCGCAGCUCCUCAUUGUAAUGCCCAAUUAUUUCCCGGGCCCAGUUGAAUAAAAUUCAAUGUUUAAAGUCCAAAUAUACAGGCCCAAAUCAGAAAUUACAAGCCCAAAUUAGCCUAAACAUUGGGAAAUCAGAAACCCUAGGCAGCAAACUAAGCCGCCGCAACAUCCUUGCAACACGUCCCUUCGCUUUCCCCCCGCGCGCGCCUAGCUUCUGCGUGCGUACGCCUCCAGCUGGCCUCUGUACACCUGUAGCAAACGCAACAAACGCAAAAAAAACAACCAGCAACGACAAAGAAAACAGAAAACAAAAUAGCAAGGAAAGAAAAGAAAUAACAGAAGAGAUUUUGGGAUUUUUUAUUUAUUUUUAUUUUCUUUUCGAUUCGGUUAUAUAAGACCGAUUCCAACACUGUAAAGGGAUCCUUUUUUCACAGAAAUUGAAUAUAAAAACAAGAAAAAAAAUUCAAAGAAAAUUUCGUAAGGUUUUUUUAGUCUCUCUUCGUUUUUCUGUAUUUUUCUUUUAUUCUUUUGUUCAUUGCUAGUGUAAAUAAAUAAAAGAGAAAGGAAGUUUAGAGCGAGGAGUUUACCUUUGUUGUGGAGCCGAAUCCUUGUCUUCUCCAUCGUAAUCGGAGAUCGGGCGAAGGAUCGGAGAGCCUUUGAGUGGCUGGUCUACGGAGCGGCGUAGAGGAGCAUGUUUAGCUUAGGUUUUUUUUUUGUUUUGUUAAAAUGAAAUGGCUACUAGUUUU